rnacentral:rRNA from 1 species
UACAGAGGGUGCAAACGUUGUUCGGAAUCACUGGGCCUAAAGCGUACGUAGGCGGCGUCGUAAGUGUCGGAUGAAAUCCCACGGCUUACCCGUGGAACGGUCCGGCAUACUGCGGUGCUAGAGGAUGGUAGAGGAGAGCGGGACUCUUGGUGGAGCGGUGAAAUGCGUAGAUAUCAAGAGGAACACCGGUGGCGAAGGCGGCUCUCUGGUCCAUGUCUGACGCUGAGGUACGAAAGCUAGGGGAGCAAACGGG